AUAAUAUAUUGAUUGGCAUCAAGUUAAUAUUUGAAAGCUCCGCGGAUAGAGAUGGGCACGCGCAAGAUUAGUUAGUUGGUGAGGUAACGGCUCAACCAAGACGAUGAUCUUUAGGGGGCCUGAGAGGGUGAUCCCCCACACUGGUACUGAGACACGGACCAGACUCCUACGGGAGGCAGCAGUGAGGAAUAUUGGACAAUUGGGUGCAAGCCUGAUCCAGCCAUCCCGCGUGAAGGACGACUGCCCUAUGGGUUGUAAACUUCUUUUGUAUAGGGAUAAACCUCUCCUCGUGAGGAGAGCUGAAGGUACUAUACGAAUAAGCACCGGCUAACUCCGUG
rnacentral:rRNA from 1 species